CCUACGGGAGGCAGCAGUGAGGAAUAUUGGUCAAUGGGCGAGAGCCUGAACCAGCCAAGUCGCGUGAGGGACGACGGCCCUACGGGUUGUAAACCUCUUUUGCCGGGGAGCAAGGGCCGGGACGCGUCCCGGCCCGGAGAGUACCCGGAGAAAAAGCAUCGGCUAACUCCGUGCCAGCAGCCGCGGUAAUACGGAGGAUGCGAGCGUUAUCCGGAUUUAUUGGGUUUAAAGGGUGCGUAGGCGGGCUUUUAAGUCAGCGGUUAAAAUUUGGGGGUCAACUCCGUCCGGCCGUUGAAACUGGGGGG
rnacentral:rRNA from 1 species